rnacentral:tRNA from 1 species
CAGCGUGUAGCUCACCAGCAGAGCGCCCGGCUCGGGACCGGGAGGGAGCGGGGGCGGCACCCGCCACGCUGG